UUCCCUUGCUCAUAUUUAGCAUUUUUCUUGGUAAGACUUUCUUUCAUCUUCAGUAGCAUUGAUGUCUUUCUUAAUCAAUGAUUAACAACUUUUAAAAUAUACUCUUUUGAGCCAUUAGUUCAGAGACAAAUUUUCCUGUUGAUUUAAGUGGCAGCAAGAUUUUUCAGAAGGUAUUAAGAGUACCUAGCAUUGAGGUAGGUUAGAAAAAAUAAAAACUAGGUAAAAAGGAGAGAGAAAAUUGAGAUUUUGAAGUUGAACUCUUCAGAAAAACUACAGCUUCAAGACACAGAAGUUACUCAAGCCUUUUUCCCUUCCGGGAAACUCGUUCAAAUUGUAACUUUUUUUCCUAAAGGUCCUUUUGAUGUAGGAAUGAUAUAGACCUCCAAAUGAUAUAGGGGGAAUAUUAUUACUCCCAAUCCUGUUAGAUAUCAUACAUUGAGUUUGUGUUCCCUAAAAUUGAAGAAUGAAUUCUAAUGAAUAAGGGAGGCUAAGAGUAGGAAAUAUUUACUGAAAGGAGAUAUUUUAGCUCCAGAGAGGCACGAGGGGUCCUGAACGGGUGGCCGAGGACCUCACUUUGCAGGGGAAGGUUUUAUGAAGCACAACCACAUAGGUGCAUUGUGGGUUAAAGCUACAAUUGACCGAUAAGGUUACAAGCAUAGUCCCUUAGGUAACAGUGAUCCAGUGGGGAAGCAAUCAUGUAGCAAGUGCACAUGGAAAGAACAAAGAACAUUUCAGGAAGGUGAUGGGUCCAAGGGUCUUAGUCACCUACCAAGGUGACCCAUGUCUAUCUAGACUCCAUUAGACCAGAUGUUACCACUUAUCUCAUCCCUUGGGGAAGUAUGUAGGCCUGGUCAUUCCGUCUUUAUCUUGAGGCCUGACCUCCAACUGAUGUGCCUCUGGCCAUACUUGUAAUGUGUUUUUACUUCUUGCACUGACUUUCUCAAGGGCCCAGCCCUGUCUGACUGCCUAUAAUAAUUCUACCUAACUUAUCUGUCUAUAAUACCUUUACAGUCAGCCUGUAAAUCCAGAUUCUUUUUUUUUUUUUGGUACCGGGAUUGAACUCGGGUCCUUGCGCUUGCGCAGCAGGUGGCAAAACCACUGAGCUAAAUCCCUGGCCCUCCAGAUUCUUAAUGUAUCCCUUUCACCUGAAAUUGUGCUUCCUCCGAUCCUCAGGAAGCAGCAAUUUUGGCAGGCAGCAUUUCUCAAAUUCAAAUACAUGUAGAUGGCUUGCACUGUAAACUGACAGAAUACAUAUCCUAGAUCACCCAUCUUGAAGACAUUCUCUUAAAUGUACCAAACUCUGGCUCCAAAUAAGUUUCAUUUUUACUCUGAACACCCAUACUCCACUCUUGAAUGCAUCCUAAAUCUAAUAAACCCUUCUCAUGUCUUUUACAGCAUGUCCUGAAAAUUAUUUUUCUGCAGUGCGAUUCAGUGAACCUGCAUACUUGUUGUGCAAAAAGGAAUUCAUUCUUCAAUUUUCAGAGAAUACAAGCUUGAUGUAUCAGAUAUCUAACAGGUUAGGAGAUAUAAUAUUUUCAUAUUUUAUCUCCUAUUUCAUCUAUAUCACCUUCUGUUUUUCAAGGUUGUUCUUUCAUCUAUGUUCAGUUCACUUCCCUUUUAUCCACUUUUCUUCCUCAGAACCAGCCCUCCAUCUGUUAUUUGAUUUCUCCUGAAUUCUUACUAUUUUCCUCUUCAAUUCCCCUUUAAAAUAUUCAUUUUACACAAAACAAAAAACCAAAACCAUUCACUUUGGAUACCAUCAAAACUUUUAUAAAUAAGCUUUUAGAGAAAAAGAAAUGAUUCUUUUUUUUCAAGCUCAAAUAUGCUUGAAAGAGGCAAGAAGAGUGAAAGAAAGUUACUUAGAGAUAUGGGCUGAUUUUUUAAAAAUAGCCAGAGUAAUACAGUUUGAAAUAUGUUGACAUUUAAGGAUAAUCUCUAGUAGUUCAAAAUGCAGAUCCAGGACUUUCUAGAUAAGAAAUGGGGUAAAGAGGAACUGAAACAAAAGAACAGAGAAACAUGACUAGUAUGGAAAUGGAGAAAUGAAAAACUGCAGGAAAGUUUUACUUGUGACACCACCACCACCACCUCCUCCUCCGCUAACACUUGAUAUAGGGUAUCUUACUAUAUUACCUAGGCUGGUCUUGAACUUGUGGGCUCAAGUGAUCCUCCUGAUUUGAGGAUUGAGGUAUAAUAGAAGAAAUAAAGGUAG
rnacentral:lncRNA from 1 species